GGGCCGGGCCCGUCCGCUGCAGCUGCCAUCUCGCCAUCUCGGCGACUCGCCGGCGCGAGGAGGCGCGGCGGUGAACGCCAGGUCGCAAGCACGAGCCAUCGCUGCGGCCUGCGGGCCACCAUCCCCUACCGCGCGGUCGCAUCUAGCGGGAAUCGCCGAGCAACCUCUGCCCCGGCCGCCCCCGCUGCCCUAGCCUCGCAGAUUUGGUUGGAUAAUUGAAUGACAUCCAAGGAACAAAUGAACUAUGCAAGAGGGGGAAGGGAGAUACAUCGCUGAUGGUGAAGGACUGAAGGGGAGGUCAUGGGGUAGUGGAUGCCGUCGGGGCAGUUGCAGGAGAAACCCAGGCCGUUGUCAGGGUACAUGCACUCCCCGCCGCUCGCAAUGCAUUUGGAGCAAUCCCCCGAGACCACCGUCCACUCCAGGAGAAAUCCACUCCUCAUGCUCGCGAUGUAGUCGUGCCCGUGCCCAUCUGGAGGCGCCGGAGCCGGAAGAGCGGGCACGACGGAGACGAGGCAGUCCUGUGGUAUCGCCCGGUGAAAUCUGCUGCUGCUCCACCGCCCUCCGAACCCGACGAACGACUCGUUGUCGCAAGGCAGGCGCCGGAACCCGGGCAGAGCCUCCGGCACGGGCUCGCUGCAUCGGGAGAGGAACCGGAGCUCGCUGUUGGCCUCGCUGAUGGCGAACACCCCCAUCCCCACCAUGGCGAGCGAGAUGUUGAAGCACGGCGCCGGGCAGCCGGCGGCGAGGGGCAGGUUCUCGUCGACGACGUCGACGGAGCUGUUCCGGGCGAAGAUGGCAACCACCCGGUACGCCUGGAACAUGGAGUGGCUGAGGAAGGCGCCGCUGGCGUUGCACUUGAGCUGGAAGGGCGGCGACCCGCACGGCGGCCGGCCGGGCUCCACCCAGAACGGGUAGGAGACGUUCAGCCCCCCGCACGCCUUGGGCGAGGGCGAGCAGCCUGCUGGUUGCUCGGGCGGUUCUGGUGCGCGGGACGUCGCACUAGCAGUUGAGAGCCGUAGCAAGAAGGCCAGAGCGUGGAGAAGACGAAGUGACUGCAGGAGCGCAGUCAUGUCUUUCGUGUUGCCGGAUGCUGGGAGAAGAGUUGAGAUCAUGGAGUGCGGUCACGGGCUGUGUCAUGGAGGCCUGGAGCACCGAUGUUUUCAAGUGUUGCUGAUUGCCCGUGCACGAUAAGUCCGCGGAUGUGACCAAGUCUCAGCUCAGUCGUCGUCUCCACUAUCCACCACUGGUCAGUACUCAGUAGCAGGGUUCACCGUUUCGGUCGGAAAGACCGAAAUUUCGGUACUUUUUCCCGUUUUCGUUACUCACCGGGAAGCGAAUUUCGGUCCGGAAAGUGGGUGAUUUCGGUUUCAAAUUUAAAAAUAUGAAAGUCAAAGUUUGGU